rnacentral:lncRNA from 12 species
AAGUUUUUUGUGUGCAAAUCCCUAAACGUACUCGUUUCUCUUCUUUACAGCAGCAUAAGAAAGAGGUGUUGAGAACUGCUCUUAACCCUUUUGGAGGCCGAAGUCAAAAGGGAACUAGAGGGCUUGACGCAUCCUUUACAUCCUGCAUUUACUCUGACCACAGUCCCUCCCUGUUCUCACAAGCGGAGCUCAGCCCUGCUUCCCUUCCUGUUGAUUCCCAGUCAGCUACAUGA